rnacentral:lncRNA from 10 species
GCGGUGGCCGCGGCGUCUGGUCGGUGAAGUGACUCUGCUGCUUCUCUCCCCACCCGCCCCCUCCCCCCCUCUCCCCUCCCCCCGUCCUUCCCCCCCUUCCCCGCCGCCGGCGCCUCGGCGCCCCUCCGGCCUGCGCACCUCCCCUCGCUCCCCUCCUCUCCCCCUCCCGCUGCGGGGACCGCCGGCCCCCUCCCCCAUUCUCUUGCUCCCCGCCCCGUCCCCGCCGCCGCCCGCCCUAGUCGCCUCCCCGCCCCGCCGGCCGGCCGGCCCCCUCCUCCGCCUCUCUCCCCUCCCCCCCGCCGGUCGGGAUCAGUCAGUGUGAUCCGAAGCGGGGGAGGGGGGGGGCGGCGGCCGAACGAUGUGCGAGAACUGCGCAGACCUGGUGGAGGUGUUAAAUGAAAUAUCAGAUGUAGAAGGUGGUGAUGGACUGCAGCUCAGAAAGGAACAUACUCUCAAAAUAUUUACUUAUAUCAAUUCCUGGACACAGAGGCAAUGUCUAUGCUGCUUCAAGGAAUAUAAGCAUUUGGAGAUUUUUAAUCAAGUAGUGUGUGCACUUAUUAACUUAGUGAUUGCCCAAGUUCAAGUGCUCCGGGACCAGCUUUGUAAACAUUGUACUACCAUUAACAUAGAUUCCACGUGGCAAGAUGAGAGUAAUCAAGCAGAAGAACCACUGAAUAUAGAUAGAGAGUGUAAUGAAGGAAGUACAGAAAGAC